rnacentral:misc_RNA from 1 species
CAGUCUCCACAUUCCCUCCUCCUCCCCCUUGCCUCUUCGCAGAGAAAUCCUGCCACAGAUUUUUUGCAUUUCAUCUGAUUUUUUUAGGCGAAGAAUAUGGUGCUGGGUUCUUGGUUGUUCGUCAGGAUAUAAAGUACUCGUAAAUGGGAACAGGCUCGGAGUCUAAUGGAUGGAGCCGAGCUCGAGGAUUGAGUCAAGACGCUGGUUAUGAUCGGAGGUGCAAUUCUGGUGAAGCGCCUCACCAAGUCUACUACCCGUUGGGACCAUGCUCGAAUUGUAGCUCAAUUACUCAGCGGCGAAAAGUUCUCCAGAGAACAAGCAUCCAGAGAUCCCGAUAAUUACUU